UACGGGGGGGGGCAAGCGUUGUUCGGAAUUACUGGGCGUAAAGCGCGCGUAGGUGGCUUUUCAAGUCAGGCGUGAAAGCCCCAGGCUUAACCUGGGAACUGCGUUUGAUACUGUUAAGCUAGAGUGUGGAAGGGGCUACUGGAAUUCCGUGUGUAGCGGUGAAAUGCGUAGAUAUACGGAGGAACACCAGCGGCGAAGGCGGGGUAGCUGGGCCAACACUGACGCUGAUGCGCGAAAGCUAGGGUAGCAAACGGG
rnacentral:rRNA from 1 species